CCCUCCCUCCCACCGGGUCCUUGACCUGGAUUUCUCAGCCUGCAGCUGCUUUGUGCUCCCUGCCUGGCGCCCUGUGCACAGCUUCUGGGUUUGCUGGAUGCUGUGGUUUCUGGGCCAGCCUUCUUCCCGGCUGGGCUCAGGCUCUCAGAGGGCAGCACUUUGCGUCACCCCCUCCAUGCUGCAUCAUGGUACCUGGCAGAGGGCCCAGCACACACGGCCUCUUGCUGUGCUGACCAGGCUGGCUAGGUGUGGCCAACUCUUCUGUGGCUUAAGUAACUGACUUCCGUUCCCACCAGAGCUGGUCUGGGCUCCUGCUGGCAAGAGUCGGAGAUCCCGUUUCACAGACGAGGACUCUGCGGUCCGGGGCUGCGCUCCCACCGGCCACCCCGCCUGGCCCACCUCCACUCAUCCUUCUCUCCGGAGGCCUGAGGCACUCUGACCCCGGGGACGCUGUGGGGGGGGCUCGCCUUGA